rnacentral:lncRNA from 1 species
CAACCUAAGAAUGUAUUACUCCUUUGGUUAUAUGCUAACCAAAAAUUACUAUAUUUUGGUUUUGCUGAUUUUUGAGACUUAUGCAGGUGGAAUCAUAUGUGGCCCAUCUUGUAUUUGUGAGAUUUGUACAUUUUGGGUAUGCAUAUUUUUAUUACUUUGUAGUCUUCCAAAAUACCAUAUUAGUGUUAACUGUUUAACUGAUGGACAGCUGAGUUGCUUCUAGUUUUUGGCUGUUAUAAAUAAUGCUGCGAACAUCAUUUGAGCAGAAAGGGUAUGUACCUAUGAGUAAGUCAGUGGGAGUCUGACCGUGGCGUCGAGUGGAUAAGGCCAAGCUAUUUUCUAAAGUCAUUGUACCAGUUUUCACUUCCAUCAGCAGUGAAAAAGAGUGCUUUUUUUGCUAACAUCCUUGCUAACAUGUGGGAUCUCCAAUCCUUUUAAUUUUAGCUGUUCUGGCAUGUGUGGUUUUAUAUAUUAAAUUCAAGCCAAGAGUACAUGGUAAUAUGUACCAAAACGUUAUUACAUUUAGAAAGCAUCAGUUUCUAGCUCUUACUUUCUCUAAUGUUUAAAUUAAGCUAAUGCCUGUAAAUUAUUUAACAUCCAAUUCUUGAUAAUUAAGCAAAAUAAUUUUCUGAAGUACUUAUGACUUAGUCUAUUUUUACCUGUGCCAGAUCAAAUACCAUCUUUUAGACUAUAAAUGUAAAUGAUAAAGUACCCUGUUAACCUCCUUGUGAGUUAUUUUUAUUCAGUGAAAAUCUUUGUUCAUUUUAUUAAAAUAUUAUUUUCCCAUUCAAAUCAUUUCACUAGGAGAAAUAGUUAAGUAUACAGCAUUUGUAUAUAGUUUUAUUUUUAUUUUUCACAAAAUAUGUUGAAAAUUUUUAAAAUUGUCUGAAUUUGCUUCCCUAUGUAUUUCUUUUUUUGGUGUUGAUACUUUUCCCUCAGUGUCUGGUGAUCCUUGGUUCCCUUUAUAUGUGAAUGGAGUAAUAUUAAACAACAAAAACAAAGAACCUGUGAUCGUUAUAGUUAUUAAACAGAGUUUGGGGGUGCUAGGUAUUUUGUUCUAGGAAUAUGACUGUUGGGUCUUCUGCAAACCACAGUAGAGAAGCAUAGGUCAGGAACUGUUUUCAGUUCCCCAGUUCACUAGAAAAUUCCACAUACACCGACAUUUCUCUCCUGGUUGUGCAGGUUCUGCUGAUUCCUCUUGUUCAUGGCCCUAUUUGUAUUUUCUAUGCUGCGGCUUCUUCUGCUUAGUUUCAGAAGCCAUGACCUAUCCACUCAUAUUUCAUCUUUUGGAGAUGUCUUGGACAUCUGUAUUUCCCUUAAUAUUUUCUUCCUGACUUCCUGUAUUGUGUAGAAAUUUAUCUUUUUCUCUUUUCCUUUCACUUUAAUGGGGUCUUUUUAAGGAGAAGCAAUAAACUCACGUUCUCAACAUGUUGGUUUCUCCUAGAAACUCUGAUUUCUAUGAUUUGUUUUAGCACUGGUGUUAAGGAAAACUCAGAAAAUCAGACCAAUGCCUUCUUCACUGAACAUUCAGUUUUACCUAUGAAUGAGUUAUGACAAUUUUGACAGAUGCAACCCUUAUCACAUUUCUUAGCUUAGUGUUGUCUUAGGUAACUAGAUUAUAUUUUUUACAUUUUAUAUAUAAUUUUGAUAAGUAUGCCAAAAGUAGGAAGGGACAGUAAUUUUCUUUUUAAGUGCAUUCCUUCCUGGCUUCUUUUGCCAGAGUUACUUUUUGCUUCAUGUACCUAAUGAAUGCAUUUCAAAUUUUUUUCUAUGCUAAACAAUAGAACAGAUUUUAUAAAAGCUUGAGGAUUAAUCUAACUGUAAAUACUUAUCCACAAUCAGCUCUAAAAUCUUCUAGGACUAUAGCCUUUUGAGAAUGGUUUAACCGGUAAUUUUCUCAGUUUUUCUCAUUUGACUCUGCUUAUAUGUAUUUCACAAGAAUGUUAUGAGACAUUCUUAUGUAGAAUGCUCACACAAAAUAUACAUGGAGUGCAUAGAGUAAAAUAUGAAGUAAGUUCCCUGCAUAUGUCCGUAUAUGCACACUCUGAGCAUUCACACACAUUCUUUCUCUCUCUCCCUCCUUCUUUCCCUCCCAAUCUCCCUCCCCGGAAGUGAUGGUUUUUAUCCUUCCUCUCCUGUUUCUAUACAUUUCUGUAUAUCAUUGUUCUUCUGUGCUCCCCCAAAUGUGUCAUUCUGCAUUAUGUUUCCCUUGCAAGUUACUUUGAAGAGGUCUCCACAUCUGUUCAUAUAACCUUUUCUUUCUUCGUUAACACUUCAUUUUUAUUUUGUUUGUUUUGUUCAGACAUAUGCCAUUUAUUUUGUAUUUCCUAUAUAUCUUGCUUUCUUAUUGGUAGUGUUGCCUAUCUUUUGUAUGUAAGUAGAUUUUUCUUUUGGUAUCACUUGACUAGUAUUUUGAAAUUUUGCAUCUACUUUCUAUUCUCUAAAUGGCAUUAUCUUUCACAUGCAUUUUUCACGUGCAUUUAAAAAAAGACUUAGUACGUAGAAUUAAUUGUCAUUUCUAUAAUAUGUAACCCCAAUCUUAACAUGCUUUCCUAGCCCUCAAUCCAAACUCACAAAUUCUGUACUAGGAAUCAUCUGGGAAUAAACAAAGGCUCCUGGCACCAUUAUUGUUUUAAGUUCUAUUCUUCAGUUUUCCCUUAACUUGUCACUGUUUCUUACAAUGUAAAUCUUCUUUGGGUGGUAGAUUUUUCUGUUUUCUCCCCUUAAACAUGUUUGCAUUGACAUCUUUUUGAACCCUGUUUGAUGGAGAAUAGGAUUCUAUGUUCAAACCGUUUUUGUAAUCAGAAAUUCAAGGAGAGUUUGACAUUAUCAUCAGCAUCCAGUGUUGCUGAGGAUAAUUCUCAUAAUUCUGAAGUAAAUCUGUUUAUGGUUUCUUUGUCAUAUUCUUGGUUUCAUUUUUGUCUUUUUCUGAAGGCAUUACAUUCUGAAACAUUUCAUCUGAUCAAUUGGGAAAAUCUCUUUUUUAUUCAUGCACACAUACCCCUUGUCUACACAUCCUGCCU